rnacentral:rRNA from 1 species
AACGAACGCUGGCGGCGUGGAUAAGACAUGCAAGUCGAACGGGACUUUUGCUGGUAGCAAUACCGGCGAAAGUUUAGUGGCGAACGGGUGCGUAACACGUGGGCAAUCUGCCGAUAAAGUGGGGGAUAGCUCGGCGAAAGCCGAAUUAAUACCGCAUGUGAUCAGCCAGGACAUCUUGGCGACAUCAAAGUCGGGGCAACCUGACGCUUUUUGAGGAGCCCGCGGCCUACAGCUAGUUGGUGAGGUGACGGCUCACCAAGGCUAUGACGGGUAGCUGGUCUGAGAGGACGACCAGCCACACUGGAACUGAGACACGGUCCAGACACCUACGGGU